rnacentral:rRNA from 1 species
CGUCGUCGACGUACGUCGACGAGAGUUAGUAGUAUAUGGCUCAGGACGAACGCUGGCGGCGUGCUCAUACAUGCAAGUCGAACGAGAAGUUAACUCGGUUAACGGAAAGUGGCGGACGGGUGAGUAAUAUGUAGAGAAUCUGCCCUAGAGAGGGGGACAACAGUUGGAAACGACUGCUAAUACCCCAUAUGCGCGUAGUUGAAAUACUAUUCGUGAAAACUCCGGUGCUCUAGGAUGAGUCUGCAUCUGAUUAGCUAGUUGGGGGUGUAAUGGACCACCAAGGCGACGAUCAGUAGCUGGUUUGAGAGGAUGAUCAGCCACAAUGGGACUGAGACACGGCCCAUACUCCUACGGGAGGCAGCAGUAGGGAAUUUUGCGCAAUGGGGGAAACCCUGAACCGCAGCAACGCCGCGUGAACGAAUAAGCCCUUCGGGGCGUAAAGUUCUGUCAGUAGGGACGAAACUUGACGGUACCUACAGAGGAAGCAUCGGCUAACUCCGUGCCAGCCGCUGC